UGGCGAACGGGUGAAUAACGCGUGAGUAACCUGCCCUGGAGUGGGGGACAACAGUUGGAAACGACUGCUAAUACCGCAUAAGCCCACGGAUCCGCAUGGAUCUGCGGGAAAAGGAUUUAUUCGCUUCAGGAUGGACUCGCGUCCAAUUAGCUAGUUGGUGAGGUAACGGCCCACCAAGGCGACGAUUGGUAGCCGGACUGAGAGGUUGAACGGCCACAUUGGGACUGAGACACGGCCCAGACUCCUACGGGAGGCAGCAUG
rnacentral:rRNA from 1 species